GAUGAACGCUGGCGGCGUGCUUAACACAUGCAAGUCGAACGAUGAUGGGAGCUUGCUCCUGGAUUAGUGGCGAACGGGUGAGUAACACGUGAGUAACCUGCCCUUAACUCUGGGAUAAGCCUGGGAAACUGGGUCUAAUACCGGAUAUGACUCCUCAUCGCAUGGUGGGGGGUGGAAAGCUUUUUGUGGUUUUGGAUGGACUCGCGGCCUAUCAGCUUGUUGGUGAGGUAAUGGCUUACCAAGGCGACGACGGGUAGCCGGCCUGAGAGGGUGACCGGCCACACUGGGACUGAGACACGGCCCAGACUCCUACGGGAGGCAGCAGUGGGGAAUAUUGCACAAUGGGCGCAAGCCUGAUGCAGCGACGCCGCGUGAGGGAUGACGGCCUUCGGGUUGUAAACCUCUUUCAGUAGGGAAGAAGCGAAAGUGACGGUACCUGCAGAAGAAGCGCCGGCUAACUACGUGCCAGCAGCCGCGGUAAUACGUAGGGCGCAAGCGUUAUCCGGAAUUAUUGGGCGUAAAGAGCUCGUAGGCGGUUUGUCGCGUCUGCCGUGAAAGUCCGGGGCUCAACUCCGGAUCUGCGGUGGGUACGGGCAGACUAGAGUGAUGUAGGGGAGACUGGAAUUCCUGGUGUAGCGGUGAAAUGCGCAGAUAUCAGGAGGAACACCGAUGGCGAAGGCAGGUCUCUGGGCAUUAACUGACGCUGAGGAGCGAAAGCAUGGGGAGCGAACAGGAUUAGAUACCCUGGUAGUCCAUGCCGUAAACGUUGGGCACUAGGUGUGGGGGACAUUCCACGUUUUCCGCGCCGUAGCUAACGCAUUAAGUGCCCCG
rnacentral:rRNA from 1 species